GGGGAUUUAGCUCAGCGGCAUGAGCACCUGCCUUGUAAGCAGGCAGUCGUGAGCUUGAUCCCCG
rnacentral:tRNA from 1 species